AUGGGGUUUUCACAGUCAGCUACCAUGAUCUGGGAAAUAUUGCAAACCAUCACCUGCCACCGCUGCGCGCUAGGCAGAGACCAUGAGAGGGCUAUGAUGGAAGGGAGAGGAGAGUUUCCAGGCUCACUGGCUCUACUGUGGCUGGCUCUCCACCUUUGCUUUUCCCAUCCAGUGAGUAGCAUGAACCUCGACCCGCCAGGGCACUGGAGAGAAGAGGAAGGAGGGCCUAUGUCCUGCACUGUGGAGGCACCAGCAGGGGCUGGAAGCAGACAAACAGCAGCCCAAGCCUCUCUUACACAGAGUAAGAAAUCUUUGCUGAGUGCAGCAUGUGGAAUGGACCCUGUGUCCCUGUAUUGCUUCUGGAGGUUUUCCAAGGAAGCAAAAGUUGCCCAGCAAGGUUCACAAGAAGCUCCUGACUAUAGGCAGAGUGGGAAAGAUGAGGUGGAGACAGUGAAGUCAUCUCAGGCAGGGCGGCACCCUCCUCUCCUGGCUGCUGGAACUGCUGACCUCACCUCCUUCCCGCACCCAGGAACCCAGGAGGGAGCCGAUCACCGUGGGGGAAGGGUUACUGGGACUGUGGAACCAUGCUCUGGCAGGACAAAGCAGUCUUUACCUGCAGCAUGGCACUUUCUCAGGGGUGCCGGCCCGGGUCAUGUCCAUUCACAGGGGGAAGGCUGGAGGGGAGGGAGUCCCUGUGUCUGUGGCCUCGCUUUCUCAGCACCUGCUGUGUGGCUCCUGCACAUCAAAAUCCUGCUCAGGGCUGUUCUCCCUCCUGUAAAGCAGGGAGCUGAGCUAGAGGCUUCUUUUUUAUUUUUAUUUAUUCAUUUAUUUUUGAGACAGAGUCUCACUCACUUUGUCACCCAGGCUGGAGUGUGCAUUGGCGCAAUCUUGGCUCACUGCAACCUCUGCCUCCCAGGUUCAAGCAAUUCUCCUGCCUCAGCCUCCCGAGUAGCUGGGGUUACAGGUGUGCCCCACCACGCCGCCUGGCUAAUUUUUUUGUAUAUUUAG
rnacentral:lncRNA from 1 species